rnacentral:rRNA from 1 species
GGGCGCAWKYYUGAUGCAGNCCMUGCCGCGUGUAUGAAGAAGGCCUUCGGGUUGUAAAGUACUUUCAGCGGGGAGGAAGGGAGUAAAGUUAAUACCUUUGCUCAUUGACGUUACCCGCAGAAGAAGCACCGGCUAACUCCGUGCCAGCAGCCGCGGUAAUACGGAGGGUGCAAGCGUUAAUCGGAAUUACUGGGCGUAAAGCGCACGCAGGCGGUUUKUUWAGUCAGAUGUGAAAUCCCCGGGCUCAACCUGGGAGCUGCAUCUGAUACUGGCAAGCUUGAGUCUCGUAGAGGGGGGUAGAAUUCCAGGUGUAGCGGUGAAAUGCGUAGAGAUCUGGAGGAAUACC